rnacentral:rRNA from 1 species
GAUGAACGCUAGCUACAGGCUUAACACAUGCAAGUCGAGGGGCAUCAGGAAGAAAGCUUGCUUUCUUUGCUGGCGACCGGCGCACGGGCGAGUAACACGUAUCCAACCUGCCCUUUACUCGGGGAUAGUCUUUCGAAAGAAAGAUUAAUACCCGAUGGCAUAAUGAUUCCGCAUGGUUUCAUUAUUAAAGGAUUCCGGUAAAGGAUGGGGAUGCGUUCCAUUAGGUUGUUGGUGAGGUAAUGGCCCACCAAGCCUUCGAUGGAUAGGGGUUCUGAGAGGAAGGUCCCCCACAUUGGAACUGAGACACGGUCCAA